AGGUCUGGCCAACGUUCAUAAUAAGAAGGUACAACCAUGCAAGGUCUUGUCCAGGACCCGUCUCCAACCUCUCUGUUCUGAACGACAGACAAUUCUAGUACGACUAGACACAAGACAAGCCACAAAUUUGACAUACGAACCUGGCGAUCACCUGAGCGUCUUCCCUGUUAAUCCUUCAAACGUUGUUAACCAGAUGAUGUCGUUUCUGGAUCCUUCGGAUAGGUCUGAGAGAAACUUAGUUCAAGUCGAAACAUUUGUGGAUGGCGUCUGGCAGCCAUACAAUCGACUUCCUCCGUGUACCAUGCACACGGCCCUCUCUAGAUAUCUCGACAUUACAACUCCUCCAGCACCUACGAUAUUAGAGCACCUUGCAGCCACGGCAACAGAAAAAUUGGACCAACUUAAGCUUCAAAGAUUGUGUGAG